rnacentral:lncRNA from 1 species
CCUGCACAAGGAGAGGAGAGAGGAGGAGGGGAUAAGGCAAAAACAAUUCUGUAUCAUGACUAUCAUAAACCCUGCAAAACAAGAUUCUCUGGACUAACUGCCAUAAACUAACUGCCAGCAAGAGGGGAAAAAACAGAGUCAAGAAAACCCUCUCCUUUCUCAAGAGCAAAAGGUGAUACUAGAAAAUACCAGGGAGUGGUAAAAACCAGCGACUACCUAGCGACAGAAGGCGGAAACACACCAGAUCAGCACCAAAGCGGAUAGCGGUUAGAAACAUCCAACAAGGGUGCCAGAAACCACUUUCAGGUUUACAGAGAAGGAAAGUCAAGGGAGAACUGGCAAAGGAAAUAGUUCUAUGAAGGGUGUAAUUUACGAUGGUGAUUAUUCUUGCUAAUGAUGAAUAUUUUGAGAGAUGAAACGGACAGUAAGGGAAGAAGAUGAGAAAGGAGGAAAGGGGGCGACGAUUGAGCGCACUGCAAAAGGAAGCCACUGCAGAUGUCCCUGUCAAGCCCAAGGCGCUGGGAGGGAGGCAGCCCAGGCAUAGGCUUCCAAGUCAGCUGGGACAGAGAUGCCAACACAAAGGCCUAAUGGAAGGAAUAUGUUUGCUUCUAAUUUAGAAUAAGAAAAACUGCACGCACAGAUCAAACCC